AUGGGGAACGGUGGGGGAUCUUCUUCCUUGGCGCCUUUGGAUUUGCCUCCUCCCUGGUGCGAGCAUGAUGAGACGGCGCCCUUUGUUGUUACCGAUGAUGUUCUUCCUGUGGUGGAUGUAGUUCUACACGAGAUUGUAAUUCAAGGUGAGGAGGAGCAAGCUAAGGUUACUGAGAUAGUCACAUCGAGCAAUGAUAUGGAGCAUAUUGAGCUGGCCUUGCCUGAUGGUUUGGUUGGCGAGGUGCCUCCCUUUGUCUCCUCUUCGGUGACGUUUGCUUCAGGGGGCACUACCAAUAUGUUGUCUUCUGGGUCCGAGGAGCCACUUGGUGAUAUUGGUGCGCCAUCUACCACCCUGUUGGAUGAGUUCCUAAGCAGUUUCAGUUGCGCGGCGCUGGGGUCCUUGCUCGAAGAACCGAUUCAUGUGCAGAUUGACGGUGCAUCUACUUGUUCCGAGAGGCGUAGUGGACGUUUGGAUAAGAAGAACAGAAACUGCAACAUUCCUACUGCCAAGCGCGCUGAAUAUAGGUUGGCGGAGGCUUAUGGUGAACUGCCGAAGGGGAUGACAUCUAAGAAAGGCUCCGAGGAGGAUGUGCAAGAGAAGAUGAACUCUUAUCUUCGGAUGUACAAGAAACCGCUUACGCCGACGUCGAUCCAGGCAAUUCAUGCAUUGGUGGAGGCCAAUGGUUGA
rnacentral:rRNA from 1 species